UUUACGGAGAGUUUGAUCCUGGCUCAGGAUGAACGCUGGCGGCGUGCUUAACACAUGCAAGUCGAACGGUGAAGCCCAGCUUGCUGGGUGGAUCAGUGGCGAACGGGUGAGUAACACGUGAGCAACCUGCCCCUGACUCUGGGAUAAGCGCUGGAAACGGCGUCUAAUACUGGAUAUGUGACGUGACCGCAUGGUCUGCGUUUGGAAAGAUUUUUCGGUUGGGGAUGGGCUCGCGGCCUAUCAGCUUGUUGGUGAGGUAAUGGCUCACCAAGGCGUCGACGGGUAGCCGGCCUGAGAGGGUGACCGGCCACACUGGGACUGAGACACGGCCCAGACUCCUACGGGAGGCAGCAGUGGGGAAUAUUGCACAAUGGGCGCAAGCCUGAUGCAGCAACGCCGCGUGAGGGAUGACGGCCUUCGGGUUGUAAACCUCUUUUAGCAGGGAAGAAGCGAAAGUGACGGUACCUGCAGAAAAAGCGCCGGCUAACUACGUGCCAGCAGCCGCGGUAAUACGUAGGGCGCAAGCGUUAUCCGGAAUUAUUGGGCGUAAAGAGCUCGUAGGCGGUUUGUCGCGUCUGCUGUGAAAUCCCGAGGCUCAACCUCGGGCCUGCAGUGGGUACGGGCAGACUAGAGUGCGGUAGGGGAGAUUGGAAUUCCUGGUGUAGCGGUGGAAUGCGCAGAUAUCAGGAGGAACACCGAUGGCGAAGGCAGAUCUCUGGGCCGUAACUGACGCUGAGGAGCGAAAGGGUGGGGAGCAAACAGGCUUAGAUACCCUGGUAGUCCACCCCGUAAACGUUGGGAACUAGUUGUGGGGUCCAUUCCACGGAUUCCGUGACGCAGCUAACGCAUUAAGUUCCCCGCCUGGGGAGUACGGCCGCAAGGCUAAAACUCAAAGGAAUUGACGGGGACCCGCACAAGCGGCGGAGCAUGCGGAUUAAUUCGAUGCAACGCGAAGAACCUUACCAAGGCUUGACAUAUACGAGAACGGGCCAGAAAUGGUCAACUCUUUGGACACUCGUAAACAGGUGGUGCAUGGUUGUCGUCAGCUCGUGUCGUGAGAUGUUGGGUUAAGUCCCGCAACGAGCGCAACCCUCGUUCUAUGUUGCCAGCACGUAAUGGUGGGAACUCAUGGGAUACUGCCGGGGUCAACUCGGAGGAAGGUGGGGAUGACGUCAAAUCAUCAUGCCCCUUAUGUCUUGGGCUUCACGCAUGCUACAAUGGCCGGUACAAAGGGCUGCAAUACCGCGAGGUGGAGCGAAUCCCAAAAAGCCGGUCCCAGUUCGGAUUGAGGUCUGCAACUCGACCUCAUGAAGUCGGAGUCGCUAGUAAUCGCAGAUCAGCAACGCUGCGGUGAAUACGUUCCCGGGUCUUGUACACACCGCCCGUCAAGUCAUGAAAGUCGGUAACACCUGAAGCCGGUGGCCUAACCCUUGUGGAGGGAGCCGUCGAAGGUGGGAUCGGUAAUUAGGACUAAGUCGUAACAAGGUAGCCGUACCGGAAGGUGCGGCUGGAUCACCUCCUUU
rnacentral:rRNA from 1 species